UCCGCCCAUAUCAGGUUGAAACACCGGUUCUCGUACGAUUACCGAAGUUAAGCAACGUCAAGCUUAGUCAGUAGCUAGAUAUGGGACUUUUAGGGAAUACCAGGUCUUGUAA